UCUGGUUUCUUCUCUGUACUUCCAUUGGUAACAAAAGAUAAACAGUCAGCCAAGUUCAAUACCAAGUUAUUGCAGUCUACUGCCGGAGCAGGGGCAGAACGAGAGGCUGAUUCUACACUUGUACAAGAAAAAAACAAAAUUGAAAUAAGGCAAAAUAGAGCAAAUGAGUUCAUUUUGGAAGUAGACAUAGUUUCAGGAGAAAAAAGAAUGGAGAAAAUUUUCACAACUUUUCAAUUUUGG
rnacentral:misc_RNA from 1 species